GGAGGCGGUGGUCUGGUGACCGGUCCGGUCUUCAAAACCGGUGAGCGGCAGGAGCUGUCGCUCGCGGGUUCGAUUCCCGUCCGCCUCCGCCA
rnacentral:tRNA from 2 species